CCCUGUUAGCUCAGUCGGUAGAGCGUUCGGCUUUUUAAAMGCCUUUAUKGGCAAGAAGUCGACCGAACGGUCGGGGGUUCGAGCCCCCCCAUAGGGA
rnacentral:tRNA from 1 species